AUAUCAAUAAGCGGAGGAAAAGAAACCAACAGGGAUUGCCCUAGUAACGGCGAGUGAAGCGGCAACAGCUCAAAUUUGAAAUCUGGCUCCUUUGGUGCCCGAGUUGUAAUUUGUAGAGGAUGCUUCGAGUUUGGCCUUGGCCUAAGUUCCUUGGAACAGGACGUCAUAGAGGGUGAGAAUCCCGUAUGUGGCCGAAGGUUUACGCUCAGGUGAGGCUCCUUCGACGAGUCGAGUUGUUUGGGAAUGCAGCUCAAAAUGGGUGGUAAAUUUCAUCUAAAGCUAAAUACCGGCGGGAGACCGAUAGCGCACAAGUAGAGUGAUCGAAAGAUGAAAAGCACUUUGAAAAGAGAGUUAAACAGUAUGUGAAAUUGUUGAAAGGGAAGCGCUUGCAACCAGACUUGCGCGCGGCGGUUCCCCCUUCCUUCUGGUUGGGCUAUUCCGUCGUGUCCAGGCCAACAUCGGUUCUGGGGGUCGGUUAAAGGCUUGGGGAAUGUAUCUACCCUUCGGGCGUAGACUUAUAGCCCCGAGUGUCAUGCGGCCUCCCGGGACCGAGGAACGCGCUCCGGCUCGGAUGUUGGCGUAAUGGUUGUCAGCGA
rnacentral:rRNA from 1 species